rnacentral:lncRNA from 1 species
GGCAGGUUUCAGUAUGGCAGGUUUCAGUAUGGCAGGUUUCAGUAUGGCAGGUUUCAACAUGACAGGUUUCAGUAUGGCAGGUUUCAGUAUGACAGGUUUCAGUAUGGCAGGUUUCAGUAUGGCAGGUUUCAACAUGACAGGUUUCAACAUGGCAGGUUUCAGUAUGGCAGGUUUCAGCAUGACAGGUUUCAACAUGGCAGGUUUCAGUAUGGCAGGUUUCAGUAUGGCAGGUUUCAAC